ensembl:lncRNA
GCAUAAACCAAAUGCCAAAUUAAUAACAUUUCCCACAGCAAAUUCCACUGUCCGUCUGCACUGAUUCCCCCUUGCCAUGCUGACGCCCAAGGCAGCUCACCGUGUGCCAGUGAAGAAAAUACUGGCAACUCUUCAGGGCAGGAGCAGGCACGGAGCAGGAGCAGCAGCAGGCAGGCAAGGGACUGAUCCGUGAGCACCGUGUAUGCCCUAUAUCUCAGUGCAAGGAGAGGCAUUUUCUCUCUUUUCCUCCUUCUAAAGCGUUUCAGAACAUACAGGGGACUGCACUACAGACUGACCUGUAGAACCACAGCACAUCCCUGGCGGAGGGGAGCCCGCCGUCCCAGCUGCCAUGGGAGGACAUGCCAGGGGCUCACCCAGCCUGUCCUUCGCGCCCUGAAAUCCUCUGGCACUGGGGACACACACCCAGGGCAGCUGUGCAGGGCUGAUGGCUCUCCCUGGGAAAUAUUUCCUCCUGGUGGCAAGAAGAAACUUUUGCUGGUGCCACUGCCCUGUGUCCUCUGUGUGGAUCCUGGUGUCAGGGCUUGAGAAGAGUUCAUCUGUGGCUUGGCUAAUGUGCAGAGCAUAGUCUGACUGGCUCUGCUCAGUGCUGUGCUAACACUGCAAGAGGAACUUGAGCCCUCCUUGGAAUAUGAGCAAGUUUAUUAAAGUCAGCAGUGCAACAGGAAAGUAUGGAUUGCAUUUUAUGUGGACUGAGCUCACCUCAGCGUGUUACAAAAAGGUGGGGCACUGCUCUGGUGAGGGCUGGGGCAGCUGUAUGCUGGUGUGAGGAGAAGGAGAAGGAGGAGGAGAGGAAGAGGAACCUGAAUGGCACAGAUAAGCCUCGAUGUCCUUGCCCAGCCCAGCUGCCCUGCCCUGCUCCCACACCCCCUUGCUCAAGGCCAGGGCCAGUUUCAUUCCAUCCCAGUGGUGCUGCAGGAUCCCCAUCACACCCCAUGCUUGCCGCAGGUGUGCCUGACCCAACCCAGCAAUGCCCCUGUCACAGGAGGCUGCUGCCAGGCACUGCCUGCAGCCAGCAUCAUCCAGGCACAGCGUGCAGUGCCCUGCCAAACUGUGGCCUUGCAGCCGCUGCCCCAUCCUCCAUCAGCACGGCUCAGUGUGCCCAGGCUGGCUGUGCUGUUACCGUGCUCACAGUUAUGGGCAUCAAGGUGGGCAGGCUGCACUGUGGACAGUGAGGGCUGGCUUUGCAAUGCAGGACACCUGCCUGGUGAACCCACCUGCUCUAACUCUCUACUUCUAUCUCUAAGUGCUUUCAGAGAACCAAACUGCAGGAGCAAUGCAUUUGUCAUGGUUCAUAGUACCCCUGCUCUGUGUCAGUUCCUCCAAGUACAAAGGAAUCCCUCUGCAUCCUGUUGGCUUUCCCUGCUCUGCAGACCUAAAACCCUUGGAGAACGUCAGAGAACAGCCCUGCUGCAUUGGAGAUUGGCACAGGACAGUGCUGUGCACAUGGAGGCCAGGUGGGAGAUCUGGCUCACUGAGUGCAGGACUCUGAGGAACUGGUAACUGAUGCACAAAGCUGCGUCCUGGGCGUUGUGCCACCUCACAGCAUGACACGGUGAUACACGGUCGCCAACGUCCCCUGGGGUGGGUGAGCACAGCUCCAGAGCUCCUCGUCCUCAUCUCCUUCAAGUCUGAGACUGUUGCAGUGGGUGGAUUCGCUGACAGAACUGAGCCAUCUGGCAGACCCUGCCUGCUCCGCUCUGUUAAUGGCCCUGGGAUGUGGGCAGGACAUGGGCUGAGCGGUAAGGAGCCCUGCUGUGCUGUGCGUGCUGCCUACCACGAAGCUGUGUUGAGCAGUGCCAGGAGCACAGGAAACAGGCAGCUGUUCCCUGCCCACCACGUACAGCACUGCCAUCCCUGCGAGGGGUCAGGGUGCUGCGCGCCACCGCUUGCUGUGCUGCAAUAAGCGCUUACUGCAGCAGUGCUGGGGCUGAAGUGCUGCUGUCUGUGCACCAUAGAGAACAAAUCAGAACGUGCUGACAAACUGGAACACCCUGGAUGGGAGGAUUCUGGCCUGUUUCCCAGCAAGUGGCUGAGUGCCCCCGUGCAGCUCCUGGGAACAAACAGCCCCGCUCACAUCACAGCUCACAGACACCAGGUGUCAGCUCCCCUUGCUGACAGUAACCAUCACCGGACAAAAGAGAUCCCGCAUUUCAGGGCUGCCUUCCUAAGGCGCGGGCUGGCACUACCAGCACGUAACCCCAGUUCUUACUGUGGCAAACUGCAGCUGCCUGAGGGUGAGAGCCCUCGCAGGGCAGCUCUCAUGAGGACUUGGGGGUGCUUUGGAGAAAAAAAUCAAAGAAUGGCUGUGGGUAAAUAAGGGCUCUUAUUUCAUCUACUGGAUUCUGUGAAGAGAGUCGGGGAACUACACCAGGCUGUCGGCUGUACUUUCAAAGUGGUGCAAGGAGCCCUGCUUUGCUGCAUUUUCUUACAGAGGCCGGCUGUUGGAGGAUUUCAUCCCUGGUGGGAAGAUCUGCAGAGGAAGAAGUCACGUCACUGCACUCCCUGCAGCACUUGUCAUGCAGGGGGUGGGCACAGUCAGCCCUCGCGAUGAAAGCCCACAUCAGAACGUGCUGCCUCUGCAUUUUGGCACUGCAGGAUGCUCCGUAUAUAAGCUGUCACUGUCAUGAAAUGCAUUCCCACCUGUUUCAGUCCCAGCAGCCCCAUUGCAACUAUGAGCUGGGCCCACUGACCGGCCCCAGUGCUGCGGGAGCUGCCGACAGCAGACACCUCCAGGAUGAGCACAGUAACUCCCAGGGAUGUGAGUGCAGGGCAGCCCCAGCCUGGGGUCAGAUGAGGCCAG